rnacentral:tRNA from 1 species
GGUGCUGUGGCAUAGCAGGUAAAGCCACUGCCUGAAGUGCCGGCAUCCCAUAUGGACCUAGGUUAGAGUCCUGGCUGCUCCA